GUGACAGCCACACACCCCAAGGCCUCCAAGAUGAGCUACACGUUGGACUCGCUGGGCAACCCGUCCGCCUACCGGCGGGUAACCGAGACCCGCUCGAGCUUCAGCCGCGUCAGCGGCUCCCCGUCCAGCGGCUUCCGCUCGCAGUCGUGGUCCCGCGGCUCGCCCAGCACCGUGUCCUCCUCCUACAAGCGCAGCAUGCUCGCCCCGCGCCUCGCCUACAGCUCGGCCAUGCUCAGCUCCGCCGAGAGCAGCCUUGACUUCAGCCAGUCCUCGUCCCUGCUCAACGGCGGCUCCGGACCCGGCGGCGACUACAAGCUGUCCCGUUCCAACGAGAAGGAGCAGCUGCAGGGGCUGAACGACCGCUUCGCCGGCUACAUAGAGAAGGUGCACUACCUGGAGCAGCAGAAUAAGGAGAUUGAGGCGGAGAUCCAGGCGCUGCGGCAGAAGCAGGCCUCGCACGCCCAGCUGGGCGACGCGUACGACCAGGAGAUCCGCGAGCUGCGCGCCACCCUGGAGAUGGUGAACCACGAGAAGGCUCAGGUGCAGCUGGACUCGGACCACCUGGAGGAAGACAUCCACCGGCUAAAGGAGCGCUUCGAGGAGGAGGCGCGGUUGCGCGACGACACUGAGGCGGCCAUCCGCGCGCUGCGCAAAGACAUCGAGGAGGCGUCGCUGGUCAAGGUGGAGCUGGACAAGAAGGUGCAGUCGCUGCAGGAUGAGGUGGCCUUCCUGCGGAGCAACCACGAGGAAGAGGUGGCCGACCUUCUGGCCCAGAUCCAGGCAUCGCACAUCACGGUGGAGCGCAAAGACUACCUGAAGACAGACAUCUCGACGGCGCUGAAGGAAAUCCGCUCCCAGCUCGAAAGCCACUCAGACCAGAAUAUGCACCAGGCCGAAGAGUGGUUCAAAUGCCGCUACGCCAAGCUCACCGAGGCGGCCGAGCAGAACAAGGAGGCCAUCCGCUCCGCCAAGGAAGAGAUCGCCGAGUACCGGCGCCAGCUGCAGUCCAAAAGCAUCGAGCUAGAGUCGGUGCGCGGCACCAAGGAGUCCCUGGAGCGGCAGCUCAGCGACAUCGAGGAGCGCCACAACCACGACCUCAGCAGCUACCAGGACACCAUCCAGCAGCUGGAAAAUGAGCUUCGGGGCACAAAGUGGGAAAUGGCUCGUCAUUUGCGCGAAUACCAGGACCUCCUCAACGUCAAGAUGGCUCUGGAUAUAGAAAUCGCUGCGUACAGAAAACUCCUGGAGGGUGAAGAGACCAGAUUUAGCACAUUUGCAGGAAGCAUCACUGGGCCACUGUAUACACACCGACCCCCAGUCACAAUAACCAGUAAGAUUCAGAAAACCAAGGUGGAAGCUCCCAAGCUUAAGGUCCAACACAAAUUUGUCGAGGAGAUCAUAGAGGAAACCAAAGUGGAGGAUGAGAAAUCAGAAAUGGAAGAGGCCCUGACAGCCAUUACAGAGGAAUUGGCCGUUUCCAUGAAGGAAGAGAAGGAAGAAGCAGCAGAAGAAAAGGAAGAGGAACCCGAAGCUGAAGAAGAAGAAGUAGCUGCCAAAAAGUCUCCAGUGAAAACAACUGCACCUGAAUGGGAGGGAAGAGGAGAAAGGCGUUGUCACCAAUGGCCUAGACUUGAGCCCGGCAGAUGAAAAGAAGGGGGGUGAUAAAAGUGAGGAGAAAGUGGUGGUGACCAAAACGGUAGAAAAAAUCACCAGUGAGGGGGGAGAUGGUGCUACCAAAUAUAUCACUAAAUCUGUAACCGUCACUCAAAAGGUUGAAGAGCAUGAAGAGACCUUUGAGGAGAAACUAGUGUCUACUAAAAAGGUAGAAAAAGUCACUUCACACGCCAUAGUAAAGGAAGUCACCCAGAGUGACUAAGAUUUGAGU
rnacentral:sRNA from 1 species